AUGUGCCACUCGACACACUUCCCUUCUCUCUCACCAUGUGCCACUCGACACACUUACACACACAGGGUGCCGCUCGACACCCUUUUCCUAUCAGGCGCCACUUUUCGAGUGCCUCUCGUCACACUUCUUCUAGUACCCGUUUUCUACCACAUUCCUCGUAAAACACCGUUGCUCUUCCCCGCAACCUCCCCAGAUUGCCAAUUUGGAUCUUCAUGA